ensembl:snRNA U6 U6 spliceosomal RNA
GUGCUCACUUCAGCAGCACAUUUACUAAAAUUGGAACGAUACAGAGAUUCGCAUGGCCCCUGCACGAGGACGACACACAAAUUCAUGAAGUGUUCCGUACUUUU